ACUCCUACGGGAGGCAGCAGUGGGAAUAUUGCACAAUGGGGGAAACCCUGAUGCAGCCAUGCCGCGUGUGUGAAGAAGGCCUUCGGGUGUAAAGCACUUUCAGCGAGAGGAAGGGUGUGUGCUAAUACCAUACAUCUGUGACGUUACUCGCAGAAGAAGCACCGCUAACUCCGUGCCAGCAGCCGCGGUAAUACGAGGGUGCAGCGUUAAUCGGAAUUACU
rnacentral:rRNA from 1 species